rfam:Trachymyrmex cornetzi contig16774, whole genome shotgun sequence.
CAAUCAGCCCUUCUCAGGGCUACCUCCUUGUAAAUAGGAAACUGUA